CACACAUAGUUCCACAACUGGACUGAGACACAUAGUUCCCCAACUGGUCUGGGACUGGACUGUUGCCAAGCACCACAUAUACAUUUUCCUACACACUAGCUUGCUACUGCUACUUUGUAUAGGUCUACACUUACCGUCCUCUCCUGACGACCAUUCAUAAUUGAACUCAAAUGUUAUUUUUGGAAAUAUGUUAAUCUUUGCGGUGUGAAGUUUGUUACAAUUUAAGAUAGAUAACGAUCGUUAAUGUAAUUAACGGUUAUUAGAACACCUGUAAAGCGGAGUGAUACAUGUAUAGUUAAAAGUCCCAGUGCUGUUGUACUCGAAUCAAAUUACUGGUCGUAUUAUAAAUACUUGUGAACAUCAUUUUCAGUUCUUUCCGCCCUUUUCAUCGAAAGCAGUGGGAACGUUUUACUUGCGUUUGCUUUUAGUAACGUUCAAGAUGCUUUGGCGGUGCGUUAUCUGCUGCGUUUUUAUUACUUUUUAAUUGAAACUCUUAUUGAGCCGUAUCAAUAGAUUGCAGUCGCAGCCCUGAUUUGGGAUUGCUCUUUGGUAUUGACGGAUGCACUGAGAAAUAUAGAGUGUACAAUUCCUUCUAUCAUCAUGUAAAGAGAAACCACCUUCAACACCUACUUGAUUGCACCCGACCAGAUGAACAGCCAUCGGAGGAAAGCAAAGUACCACCGGAACAAGACAACAUUCAACCCGAUCAGCUACUAGCUAACUCCAGCAUCACUAAUAAUCAACUCCAUACAUCUGACUCAGAUGAAGGGCAAAGGGGCAUUAACCAACACGGAGCUGUCACAGUGCAAGAAAAAGGUGUGAAUGACAUUGUUCUGGGGUACAGCAGUAUCAAUCAUCACUAUUGGACAGCCUCAGGAAGCAGAUGGAGGCAGUGCUAAAUAAACAUUCAGGUCAACUUGAAAAAGAUGCAAUGGAUAUAUUUGACAAUUUCAUUAACCCUUUUGCUGGUGUUGCAACAACAUUUAGACAGGACAGUGUUAUUAAGAAGCAGUUUAGCUGUUUGGACACAGAGGAAAUUCCAAUUGCUCGAACCAUAUGCAGAAAUUUGUAAUCCACUAGGAUCCUUUGCAUCAAAAAACAAGUUGUUAAUGGUGUACAACACCCUAGGAAAUAUACAUCCAAAAUACAGGUCUAAACUGGCUGCUAUCAGGCUACUUGCCAUGGCUAGAUCAGCAGACCUCUGUCAAUCUGGUGUAGAUGUAAUAUUGAAUAGAAUCAUGGAAGACAUGGAUGAUUGUACAGUGGGGUUAAAAUGCUAACUAUUAAAUGGAGAGAAAACGAUAUAUGGUGCCAUGGUUGCUCUCUGUGGAGACACCCUGGCACAACAUGAACUAGCAGGGUUCAAAGAGCGUGUGGGCUUUGCCUACAGUAAGUGCAGACACUGUGAGUGUUCUUUUGACUACAUGCAGUCACACUUCAAUGAGGAUGCAUAUACUAAAAGGACAUUGGAGAAGCAUGUCAGACAGUGUGAUGAAAUAGAAAAGGCACAGACGGACUUGCUUCGCAACAGCCUGAGAACAACAUAUGGGAUCAAUAGAAGGAGCAAGUUAGUUGAAUUCCCAGCCUUUGAUAUCAACAACAAACUCCGCAAUACAUUAUGCAUGUCAUUCUGGAGGGCAUAGCCCCAUUGGAAGUCAAAUGUGUUUUGAAUCAUCUUGUCUUGUCAGGACAACUUGAUCUGGACUCAGUGAAUUCUGUUAUUCCUUUUUUUUUUUUUUUUUUUUUUACCCCUUUUUUUCUCUCCCCAUAAACAUAAUAAAUAAACAAUAUUUACGUAGAAAAUUGAGGGACUUCCUAUGUUUCAAUGAAGUAAACCAUGCUGUAUCAGUCAAAUGGCUUGUAAUAAAUUCUAAUAAAUACAUAACUCAGAAGUCCAUGAUCUUUGCCAAAGUAUGCCAGGAUUUGGACUGGUCAAAAACAUAUUUCUUGUUGAUUCUAGGCUUUAUUGUUUGGAAUAUCAACCAUUUCAAACUAUACGCUUUGAUAGAAACGUCAUGGUUUAUCAAGUUGAGGUCCCACACCUUGCACAGGCCACUGAGUUAGUGGAUGCUAAAAAGCUGGUUUAUUUAACCUCUUACACAAUUAGCAACAAGAUCCAAACUUAUGUACAAGUCAAAUACCAUCUUGGGGAUGUAAUAGAAUUGUUCAAAUGACUCAGUGUGUUCCCCAGAUAUGAAUAUAGAUAUGUCUUUUUUCUGUACUGUAUUUUGUCUACAUGAUUGCUGUGCUGUGUGUAAGAUUGAUAUUAAAACAGUGAAUUCCGUUUGGUCUGUUCUUAAUAUGUGAAGAGAUGAAAAGGAUAAGAUGCUUG
rnacentral:lncRNA from 13 species